rnacentral:rRNA from 1 species
GAUGAACGCUGGCGGCGUGCCUAAUACAUGCAAGUCGAGCGAACAGACGAGGAGCUUGCUCCUCUGACGUUAGCGGCGGACGGGUGAGUAAAACGUGGAUAACCUACCUAUAAGACUGGGAUAACUUCGGGAAACCGGAGCUAAUACCGGAUAAUAUAUUUAACCGCAUGGUUCAAUAGUGAAAGACGGUUUUGCUGUCACUUAUAGAUGGAUCCGCGCCGCAUUAGCUAGUUGGUAAGGUAACGGCUUACCAAGGCAACGAUGCGUAGCCGACCUGAGAGGGUGAUCGGCCACACUGGAACUGGGACACGGUCCAGACUCCUACGGGAGGCAGCAGUAGGGAAUCUUCCGCAAUGGGCGAAAGCCUGACGGAGCAACGCCGCGUGAGUGAUGAAGGUCUUCGGAUCGUAAAACUCUGUUAUUAGGGAAGAACAAAUGUGUAAGUAACUAUGCACGUCUUGACGGUACCUAAUCAGAAAGCCACGGCUAACUACGUG